rnacentral:rRNA from 1 species
CGUAGGGACCGAGCGUUGUCCGGAUUCAUUGGGCGUAAAGAGCUCGUAGGCGGCUGCUCAAGUCGAAUGUGAAAACUCGAGGCUCAACCUCGAGCCUGCAUUCGAUACUGGGCGGCUAGAGUCUGGUAGGGGGAUCUGGAAUUCCUGGUGUAGCGGUGGAAUGCGCAGAUAUCAGGAGGAACACCGGUGGCGAAGGCGGGAUCCUGGGCCAGUACUGACGCUGAGGAGCGAAAGCGUGGGGAGCAAACAGGAUUAGAUACCCUGGUAGUCCACGCCGUAAGCGAUGGGCGCUAGGUGUGGGAGGUCAUCGACUCCUUCCGUGCCGCAGCUAACGCAUUAAGCGCCCCGCCUGGGGAGUACGGCCGCAAGGCUA